rnacentral:lncRNA from 1 species
AAGAGAGCUUUGGUAGCCCAUUAUUUGGCGUAGAUGAAGCAGGCAAUGACAGGGAUAAGACAUAUACUUGUCACAGCUGUUGCUCUAGCGUGGACAAGCUGUUGUCACUCAGAAAGAAGGCAGAAGAAGAAAAGAUGUCUCAUUCUAAUGAAGGUGAAUCAGGUCUUGAUGAUUAAUCACAAGAUAUCACUGGAGGCAUGUGCACACACACACACACUAGUCUCACUGGGCCCAGACUAGUCUCGUAGACCCCAGCCUACAGUCCACCCCAAUGACUGUCAGCUGAGGAAUGGCCUGGCCAGCGAGACUAUACACACAGUCACACACACACACACUGGAGUCUGGAGCAGCGGAGUAGGCACAAAUUUACAUGUGCUUUGGGAGUUGCUAUAAUAAUUUAUACUAGUACAUGUAGUUGCUAAUGUCGUAAUAUAAUGAGAAUGAUUCUGACAGUAGUACCAGUGAAAGUGCUAGUCACACUCACCAGGAGUUUGAGUUACCUAAAGAACCUUUUCAAUUACGACAAGAGAUUGCUAGUCAUUCACUUGAAUUACCUGAAUUUGAUAUUGGCAGUAGUCACAGUGGUGGUAUAUCUCAUGCCUCCAGUGGUCGUCACUCCUCACAACACACUCUCAACUUCCCCAAACAAUUCAUUCCAGGCUGGACUCCACCUACCUGGGACUUCUCCCCUCAAGUAGCUGAAGUAUUGAAGCAUUAUGCUGGGAAGGGUGAUGUUCAGAUGAGUGUUACUAUUAUUCUUGUGUUUGGUGAGAGGGUCAGUAAACUGAUACCUGAAGUAACAUUACUUCAAUGGUUUCAUUCAUAUAUUGAUUUAUUGACACAGUAUCAGUUAUUAAAUGAAGCUGUUUAUAUUACCAAGAACUGUCCUCUUA